rnacentral:rRNA from 1 species
GUCGACGAGAAUCUGCUGAAGGAGGAUUCGUCCACGGAAGCAGAGGAAAGUGGCGGACGGGUGAGUAACGCGUGAGGAACCUGCCUUGAAGAGGGGGACAACAGUUGGAAACGACUGCUAAUACCGCAUGACGCAUAGAGGUCGCAUGAUCUUUAUGCCAAAGAUUUAUCGCUUCAAGAUGGCCUCGCGUCUGAUUAGCUGGUUGGCGGGGUAACGGCCCACCAAGGCGACGAUCAGUAGCCGGACUGAGAGGUUGAACGGCCACAUUGGGACUGAGAUACGGCCCAGACUCCUACGGGAGGCAGCAGUGGGGAAUAUUGGGCAAUGGGCGCAAGCCUGACCCAGCAACGCCGCGUGAAGGAAGAAGGCUUUCGGGUUGUAAACUUCUUUUAAGAGGGAAGAGCAGAAGACGGUACCUCUAGAAUAAGCCACGGCUAACUACGUGCCAGCAGCCGCGGUAAUACGUAGGUGGCAAGCGUUGUCCGGAUUUACUGGGUGUAAAGGGCGUGCAGCCGGGUCUGCAAGUCAGAUGUGAAAUCCAUGGGCUCAACCCAUGAACUGCAUUUGAAACUGUGGAUCUUGAGUGUCGGAGGGGCAAUCGGAAUUCCUAGUGUAGCGGUGAAAUGCGUAGAUAUUAGGAGGAACACCAGUGGCGAAGGCGGAUU